rnacentral:lncRNA from 10 species
CCUUUGCAGUCCUAGGUCGUCUGGGAGCUGCCGCUGACGCCGCCGACCAGAGCCUUCCCCUCGGCCCCAGCACCCUUCGAACUCCCGGGGCGGGCACGGAGCUCUGGACAGCCGCGUCCCCGCCCUCCCCGCCGGCUCCAGACUUUCCUACCAGUGCGGGAAACGGAAGGAGGACUUUUUCUGGAAAAUCAGUGUCUGCGCUUCCCACCGGGCGGGUUGGACCUGAAGACACGUCCGUCCCGCGGAGAAUACGCGACACCGUGACCGACACGCGGCAGUCCUGCCUUAGAAGCGCGGCCGGGCCGGCGCGGGACCCGCAGCCUGGGGACCUUCCUCGCGCCCCAGAGGGGUCUGGGUGGAACGGGAAAAUUAAAAAUUAAAAAAAAAAAAAAAAACGGAAAGGCAAGAAAGGAAGAAGUCCGCUGGAGAACUCCGUGCGAAGGCCCCACUCCUACACGUCCCCGGCCUCAAGGGGAGACGAGGAAGAGAGCGGCCCAACCUGGGCCUGGGAGUAUCGUGACCCAUGUGUUUAAAGAACUAAAACGUGGCGUUAAAAAUAAGUGGACGGGACACCAUCAGAACUGUUUUUUUUGUUUGUUUUGUUUUUAGAUGGAGUCUCACUCUGUCGCCAGGCUGGAGUGCAAUGGCGCGAUCUGGGCUCACUGCAACCUCCACCUCCUGGGUUCAAGUGAUUCUCCUGCCUCAGCCUCCUGCACCCUCCUGUGUAGCUGGGAUUACAGGCACGUGCCACCACGGCUGCCUAAUUUUUGUAUUUUUAGCAGAGAUGGGGUUUCACCAUGUUGGCCAGGCUGGUCUCGAACUGCUGACCUCAGUUGAUCCACCCGCCACAGCCUCCCAAAGUUGGAAUUAAAGGUGUGAGCCACCGCACCCUGCCACACUGUCAGAAUUGAGGAGGCAGAUAUGAGAAACAUCUUAGGAAUAAAAAAGAAUAAAUGAAUUUGAAAACAAUGAAUAGGCUAAGCAGCAAAUUAGAUGCAAAUACAUAUAAAAUUAGCGAACUGGAAGAUAUAUUUGAAGAAGUCACCCAGAGUGCAACACAGACAAAGGGUGAAAAAUAAGUUCUCUUUAGUGGUUAGCAUUGUGAUGGAGUAAAAAGGCCCCACGUGGCCUAACUGGGGCUCUAGGAGGAAAAAAAGUGGAUUAAAUGGGCCAAGGUAAUAGGGAAGAGAUGUGAAUGGAAAGGCACCAUUUCUCAGACUCUGAAGCUUCAGAGAAUCUAAGCAGAGUGUGUUUGAAGAAAACCACAUCUGGACACACCUGUUGUAACUGGAGAUUCUCAAAGACAAAGAUUAUAAAAGCAACUGGAGAGAAGAAUGAGUAACUGUUGAACGGCACUGAAACCAACACCUAAACAGCAAUAGGGGAAGCCGUGAGAAGCAGAGGUCUCAAAUACCUGGGAGGAAACAGCUUUCAACAAGAACUGUUCAUCCCAUGAUAUACCUUUCAAGAAUGAGAGUAAAACAAAAGCAUUUGUAGUUAAACAAAAACUAAGACUUCCACUUUGAGCCACGACAGAAUAACUGGUCCAGAUUUACUCUCUCACCUUAAACAACUAGAAAGAAGGACAAAAUAUAUGCAAAAAUGUCUUUUGAGACAUGGGACAGCGGUCAGAAUUGGGCAGCAGUUACUGAGAGAGGAGAAACUAAUGAGGAGAGACCUUCCAGCCCCUGGCUACUGUCUGGAGAGGAGCUCCAGGCCAGAGCCUGAGAGGGGGUACCCAGAUAAGGCGGGGUCUUGCUGCGGCAGAGACUGAGUUAUAAGUUGGGGGAAGCCAAGGCAACCAGAAUUUUCAGGGCUGAGUACAAGAGAAGAGGGAGCUACAGAGAGAGAAAGAGAUGGGGAAGGAGAGAAAGAGAUGGGGGAGGAGAGAAAGAGAUGGGGUGAGAGAAGGCGAGAGGGAGACCCACCCAGAGAACUGUGGCUGAGCACUGAUCUACGCAUGCCUAUGAAGAAAUUACCUGAGGGGAAAAGAACCACUAGAAAGGAGGAGGCAGAACAUCCGGAGGAGCUCGAACAGGGCUGGGAUUGUUCGUGUUCCCACAAGCCAGAGUGGAAAGACCUCCUAAUUCAAAGGGCAUCGUGGAGGCUGCAGCAGGGUAGUGUGUCAGCAAUGGGGCCAGAUUAGCCCCAGGCUGAAGGACCCACACUAACGAGGCUUCUAAGCAAUCCUCAAAAGGAUUCCAACACAACCCAAGAAUAUUCAAAGUAAUACCAAAAAUUCAGCACCCACCCAUGUACCUUUCACAAUGUCUAUACCAUUCAAUCAAAAACUAUCACACAUAGAAGCAGGAAAAUAUGAUUCAUACCCAGGGUCAAAAUCCAUCAAUAGAAACAGACCCAGAGAAGACAGAUACAAUGGGAUUUGUAUACAAGAACAGUGAGGCAGUGCUAACUAGAUUUCAUAUGCUCAAAAAGGUAGAAGAAGGCAUGGGCGUGAUGAAGAGGUUCUUUUUCAAUGAACAUAAAACAAUUGCCAACAUUCCUUAACAGCAUAUAAAAUAGUGGUACAUCUUAAAAGUGGUGCUACCUUAAAUUUUUGGUGAAAUGUGGUAACAGCAUCUAUUACAACCUGCCUGGUGUUUAUCCCCCUUGGAAUGUAACCAUUACUUUAAUUUAUUUAUCAUUUUAGAAUGAAGUUGGGAGCAAGAGGGAGUGGACUCUCAUUCACUGACUUACUCAUUCUGUUAUCACAUGCGUACUGAAAAUUCAGAGUAAAACCUCGUACUGUGCAACCCAGAAUUUACCAAGAUGAGAAUAAUGAGAUAUAUAAACCAAUAACUCUACACAAAGUGCUGCAAGAGAAGAUUAACAUGAGACAGAAGGAGUUCAGAGGCGAGGAGAAGUCAAGGCUGGCCACACAGCAGAAGAGGAACUUUGGCUGGGCUUGGAUGAUGGGGCAUUUGGACAAGUGAAGCAGUGGAGAAUUUCUUUGAGGGACCUGGGCCUCCACCAGCCCUUUGUAUGAAUUAGAAAGGGACUUUUUCUCUGUUGCCCAACACUGCAGGUGCACUACUUGGGAAGUGAACGGCACCUUUGAAAUGAGGUGCUACUGAAACAAAAGCCUAAAACUGGGGAAAUCAUCUUAGGGAUGGAAGUGUGGGCUAAGAGACCUCAAUGAGACUGAUAGUAAAGUCUCAAAGUUCAGUGAGGGAACACCUGGAAAGAUGGAAAAGAGUGACUGCUGUCAUGUAGCAGCAGAAACGUUAGUUAAAAUAUCCUUUGGGGAAACCAGGACACCAAAAAAUAUACCACAUGAGCUUGUGGGUUUGACUGAAGAGACUUUGAGGCAGACUGUCAUAAUUGGCAACUGCUUUCUUUUAGCUGUGUGUAAUAUAGAUAAAAUAAUGAAGGAAUGUCCCAUUUUUGAGCAAAAUUUAAAGAAAAUAUAAAGGUGUCAGGACUUGGCUGGGUUUCUCUAAGUGGUUUCUCAUAUGCAUCUUUCAGACAAAGAAAUAUUCUCACAGUAAGAAAAUGCUGCGUGGCAAAGAUGGAACUCAGUGUGUUUGAAGUCAACUAUGGCUGUGGGGUAAAGUUCAGAUUAAAAGUGUGGAUUUCAUACCUUUUAUUGAGACUUGAGAAAGAUUUAAGGCAUGCCUCAUUUACUCUUUCAGUGAGACUGAGAGACUUGUGAUGAUAUCUUUGUCUAAUGGAGUGAGACCCCCUUAAGAUUUGUAGGAAAUCCACCAAGUUUUUAAGAGAAUUGUAUUGGUGGAAGCACUGUCAGCUCUGAAUAAAGGGACAAUUCAAAAUUAGAAGAAGUCUCUGGGACAUCCAUCUUCUAUGUCCAGGAAGAUGACUAAGAGAGGUAAUCAGAUGAAAAUAUGGACCGUUUUUCGGGGGAAAGGAAGGGUGACUCAGAGGGUGGAGUCAAGAGCAUGGAGGGAGAGGCAAGAGCAUAGAACAAACACUCAGCUCUAAUUAAGGUACACUUCCUACCUCUAGAGCAGGGGAAUUGGUGCCCUGCAGCUGGAUUUUAGCUGUGUGGGCAUUGACUGCUAAUGUGCCGCCAGCUUUCUGACUUUUCAGUCAGAAAGACCGAUCCUGGUUUCUUUCCUCCCCAUUGUAUUAAAAUGUUGGGUGUGUGGAAGAGGGAAUUUGACCCCUUUAGUUUGCAGGUCUUCACGCUGGGAGGGAUUGCGCUUGAGUAAAUGCAUCUUAGGAAUACACUGGGGGUACUUUACAGACCUGACAUAGAUGAUGAGACCCUGGACUUUGUGCUGAUGCCAUAAUGGGCUGGGAUGUUGGAGGCCUUGGUGAAGGAGGUGAGUGUAUUUUGCAUAUGCAAAGGACAGGAAUGCCUGUAGCCAAAGAGUAGACCAUGCCAUUAUGUUCUUUUUCUUUUUGUUUGUUUUGAGACGGAGUUUCGCUGUUGUUGCCCAGGCUGGAGUGCAAUGGCAUGAUCUUGGCUCACUGCAAUCUCUGCCUCCUGGGUUCAAGCGAUUCUCCUGCCUCAGCCUCUGUAGUAGCUGGGAUUACAGGCAUGCACCACCAUGUCCAGCUAAUUUUGUAUUUUUAGUAGAGACAGGGUUUCUCCAUGUUGCUCAGGCUGGUCUCAAAUUCCUGACCUCAGGUGAUCCACCCACCUGGGCCUCCCGAAGUGCUGGGAUUACAGGUGUGAGCCACCGUGCCUGGCCGACAUUAUGUUAUUUUUCUAAGGUGGCCACAGCAAUGGUUUUCCAUCCCACAUGUUCUUCAACGUGAACUUGCUACAUCCUGAAGAGAUGGGUCUAUUUCUUGACCCUCUUACACAGUCAAAUGAGGCAAAGUAGAAAAUUCAUUCAUUCUUAGCCUAAGAUAAGCAUGCAGAGGAAGAGACAUUAAUGAAUUCAUGCAGCAUGAAAUUUUCCCAGUGGGGGAAUAAAAAAGAUACAUUAUUAGAACAAAUAGAAUUAUAAAAUGACAUAAGUGGCUAUAUCUUUUUAGGACACUCUUCAAUAAAAUCAAGCUGUUUAGCAUUAUUGCAUUUUAACUACAUUCCAUUUUUCUGACAUUAACCAAAAAAGCUUAACAAUUAAUUUGGUAUAUUUUGAAGUCUGUCCCUAAAAUAUUUGCAGUCCCCUCAGGCUAGAUCAUGGGCUUCCUGGCACUCCACUCCAGCAACAGUGUACUAUGGUCCUCAUCACCUGGUGUACUUACCGUCAUGACCACCCAGAGGUAAAAGGGAGCUGCAGCCCAUGGCUGGCCAGGACCCUGGGUUUUCAGAAAUCCCUGCUAUGUUAAUAUGCUGUCCACUUGUUUGCUCAACUGCCUCACUUCAGGCUCAACAUCUCUAGAAAAACAGAUAUUAGGGAAGUCCCUGGCCCAGUUGCAGGGCCGGCGCACUUCAGCAGCCCCAAGUGUAAGCUGCACAGGCAAGCUGAAAGCCAGGUCCUCACUGUGGUGCCCCUCGUCUCCCCCAAGCCUGGCACCCCAGGGCCCAUUUCUGUAUCAGUGUGUCCCAGCCCUGGCUUUCAUCUCACAAGGAUAACAGCAAAUAGCUUAAAGGAAAUAAAGAAAACGUGGGUUGAAAGGGCACAGUACAUCCUAGGCAAAAGGUGCAUCAUGAGCAAGAAUGACAUACAGACCGAGGGUGUGCUGGAGAUGGCUCACACCAGCCCUUAGAGCUGGCUGUUAAAUUAUCAAGAAUAGUGUGAGCCAGUUGUUAAUCCCAGCCAUUAUCGUACAUCAAAUUAACAAAUUUACAACCAAAUCAAUUAUAUCAAAAACAAAGUUAAUAGAUACUCCACACUCAUUUCUUCCUAAUUAUUUUUAACCUGUUUUGCUACUGUUUAUGCCCUGGAGGCUGCUUAUGACAACUGUACCUGUAUGAUGGAGUUGCUACACAAAGGUGGCUACUGUGUAUCUCUUUCCAACUCUGCAUUCAGUGACAUUUGGUAGCUGGAAAUCCACCACAGUGGGAGUUUUACCAGAAACUGGCAAAUGCUACAAUCAGGGCUUUCCCCGAAGAAAGCUGGUUGGUAAACAUUUGCCUGCACACUACAGAUAAAGAACUAUGAGCUCUUCAUAGCGGGUUGCAUACCAAGGAGAGUACAAGAGGCCACCUCAGAACUCCCACUGAGUGCUCUUGUGGAGAAGGAGACAGAGCAGGGUCUACACAGUUAGGGUGGAAAUGGGCUCUGGGAGUUUUAUACCCAUCCAAGUUCUCGCUCACAUGUGGAGGACAGCAGGUAACGUGCUGACACUGAAGGACAACAGCCCAAGUACAUCCAGGUUUGUAGCGGUAUGGCCAAAAAGGACACUCCUUUCAUGAAGGCAUCCCAUGAUGCCUUUGUGGAAGGGACCCCCAACCCACGGGCCACAGACCAGUACCAGUCUGUGGCCUGUUAGGAACCGGCCUGCACAGCAGCAAGUGAGUGGUGGGCCAGCGAGCAUGACCACCUGACCUAACCUCCUGUCCGAUCUGCGGUGGCAUUACAUUCUCAGGGGCACAAACCCUAUGUGAAUUGCACAUUCAAGGGUUCUAGGUUGUGCACUCCUUAUGAGAAUCUAAUGCCUGAUGAUCUGAGAUGGAACAGUUUUGUCCUGAAAUCCUGAAACCAUAGCCCCCUGCCACCCCUCAUCUGUGGAAAAAUUGUCUUCCAUGAGACUGGUUCCUAGUGCCAAAAAGUUUGGGGACCACUGCUUUAUAGUACCUAAAAUUAUAUGUUUUUGUUGACAGAGUUUUCUAGAGGGAUCUGCAAGAAGCUGUUACGAUUUAUUGCAUGGGGAGGGAAGCUCAGGGUGGUUAGAAUUCUUUACUUCUCCUGUGUUGAUUGCACUUUCUACAUUGUAUGUAUGUACCUUUAAUAUUUUAUAAAUGUGUGUUUUUUAGAAGAGAUAUGCUGACAUAGGACACAGAAAGAUUUAAAAUAAAAUGAAAGAAAAGAUAUAUUAAACCAAUAUUACCCAUUAGAAAGCUGCUGAAUUGCUAUGACUGUCCCAUGAAAUAGACUUAAAGGCAAAAAGCAUCAUGAACGUUAAAGAAAAUAAGAAGAAUGACUCACCAGCAGGACAAAAACUGUGAUGGACAAAAACUGUGGACAUGAGGAAUGACUGUGAUGGAGAAGAACAAGAACUGUGAUGAACCCAUAUGCACCUAAGAACAUGGCCUCCAAACACAGAAAGCAAACACUAACGGAACUGUGAGUCCACAAUCUCAAGAAGUUUUGUAUGUCUCUUUCAAUGACAAGACAAUAACAACAAAAAAUUAGGAUACAAAAGAAUGAGUUGAGUCUGUUCGUAUUAAUUUGAAAAGAUCUCUUCAACAUAUUAUUUAUUCAGUAUGCCAAGAUGCAGAGCAGUAUUGCAUAGUGUAAUCUCAUUGAUGUGUUAAAAGUAUACAUGUGCACAGGUGUGCACACAGGCAUGCACGCACACACACAUGCCCUUUGGUUCUGCACGUACAUGUUCUGCAAGGUUCCAGUGGGGAAUGGAAGCAGAGUUUGUAGGGAUGGGGAAAGAGAAACUUGUAUCUCAAAUUUUACUUCCCUUAUGUUUAAAUUUUGUCAUGCA